rnacentral:rRNA from 1 species
GACGAACGCUGGCGGCGUGCUUAACACAUGCAAGUCGAACGAUGAAGCCGGAGCUUGCUCCGGUGGAUUAGUGGCGAACGGGUGAGUAACACGUGAGCAAUCUGCCCUUGACUCUGGGAUAACUGCGGGAAACUGUAGCUAAUACCGGAUACGACACCUUGGGGCAUCCCAGGGUGUGGAAAGAAUUUCGGUCAAGGACGAGCUCGCGGCCUAUCAGCUAGUUGGUGAGGUAAUGGCUCACCAAGGCGACGACGGGUAGCCGGCCUGUGAGGGUGACCGGCCACACUGGAACUGAGACACGGUCCAGACUCCUACGGGAGGCAGCAGUGGGGAAUAUUGCACAAUGGGCGAAAGCCUGAUGCAGCAACGCCGCGUGAGGGAUGAAGGCCUUCGGGUUGUAAACCUCUUUUAGCAGGGAAGAAGCGAAAGUGACGGUACCUGCAGAAAAAGCACCGGCUAACUACGUGCCAGCCGCCGCGGUAA